rnacentral:rRNA from 1 species
AUUGAACGCUGGCGGCAUGCCUUACACAUGCAAGUCGAACGGCAGCAGGAUCUAGCGUGCUGGAGUGAUGGCGAGGGGCGAGUAAUUGAUUAAUACAUCGGAACUUGCCCUGUAUUGGGGGGUAACUGGUCUAAUGAUUAGCUAAUACCUCUUACGACGUGAGGGUGAGAGUGGGGGGCCUCAAGCCCUCAGGCUGUACGAUCGGCCGAUGUCUGAUUAGCUAGUUGGUGGGUUAAAGGCCCACCAAGGCGACGAUCAGUAGCUGGUCUGAGAGGACGAUCAGCCACACUGGGACUGAGACACGGCCCAGACUCCUACGGGAGGCAGCAGUGGGGAAUUUUGGACAAUGGGCGCAAGCCUGAUCCAGCAAUGCCGCGUGUGUGAAGAAGGCCUUCGGGUUGUAAAGUACUUUUGUACGGAACGAAAAGGCACCUACUAAUAUUAGGUGUGGAUGACGGUACCGGAAGAAUAAGGACCGGCUAACUACGUG